UGACAGACACACUCAGGCCUGGAGGGGAAUUACAACAAUAUUAAUAAUAUUAUUAGUAUACAGGUGUGACAGACACACUCAGGCCUGGAGGGGAAUUACAACAAUAUUAAUAAUAUUAUUAGUAUACAGGUGUGACAGACACUCAGGCCUGGAGGGAAUUACAACAAGAGAGAAUCCAAAUUGAAUGUAAUUAAUCAGUUCCGUGGUUGCCAUGGACAUUGUUUUAAGCAUUUUUUUUAAAUGACGUCUUGAGUGUUUGAGCUACAAUAUCUGGUGAAUUUGACCUAUGGAGUUUCUGGACUAAUGGCCAGUCAGUCAGGGUUUGGCUAGGUAGCUAGCUGGACUAAUGGCCAGUCAGUCAGGGUUUGGCUAGGUAGCUAGCUGGGCUAAUGGCCAGUCAGUCAGGGUUUGGCUAGGUAGCUAGCUGGACUAAUGGCCAGUCAGUCAGGGUUUGGCUAGGUAGCUAGCUGGGCUAAUGGCCAGUCAGUCAGUGUUUGGCUAGGUAGCAAGCUGGACUAAUGGCCAGUCAGUCAGGGUUUGGCUAGGUAGCUAGCUGGGCUAAUGGCCAGUCAGUCAGGGUUUGGCUAGGUAGCUAGCUGGGCUAAUGGCCAGUCAGUCAGGGUUUGGCUAGGUAGCUAGCUGGACUAAUGGCCAGUCAGUCAGGGUUUGGCUAGGUAGCUAGCUAGCUGGACUAAUGGCCAGUCAGUCAGGGUUUGGCUAGGUAGCUAGCUAGCUGGACUAAUGGCCAGUCAGUCAGGGUUUGGCUAGGUAGCUAGCUGGACUAAUGGCCAGUCAGUCAGGGUUUGGCUAGGUAGCUAGCUGGACUAAUGGCCAGUCAGUCAGGGUUUGGCUAGGUAGCAAGCUGGACUAAUGGCCAGUCAGUCAGGGUUUGGCUAGGUAGCAAGCUGGACUAAUGGCCAGUCAGUCAGGGUUUGGCUAGGUAGCAAGCUGGACUAAUGGCCAGUCAGUCAGGGUUUGGCUAGGUAGCAAGCUGGACUAAUGGCCAGUCAGUCAGGGUUUGGCUAGGUAGCAAGCUGGACUAAUGGCCAGUCAGUCAGGGUUUGGCUAGGUAGCAAGCUGGACUAAUGGCCAGUCAGUCAGGGUUUGGCUAGGUAGCUAGCUGGGCUAAUGGCCAGUCAGUCAGGGUUUGGCUAGGUAGCUAGCUGGACUAGGACUAAUGGCCAGUCAGACAGUGUUUGGCUAGGUAGCUAGCUGGGCUAAUGGCCAGUCAGUCAGUGUUUGGCUAGGUAGCUAGCUGGGCUAAUGGCCAGUCAGUCAGGGUUUGGCUAGGUAGCUAGCUAGCUGGACUAAUGGCCAGUCAGUCAGGGUUUGGCUAGAUAGCUAGCCGGGCUAAUGGCCAGUCAGUCAGUGUUUGGCUAGCUAGCUAGCUAGCUGGACUAAUGGCCAGUCAGUCAGUGUUUGGCUAGAUAGCUAGCUGGACUAAUGGCCAGUCAGUCAGGGUUUGGCUAGCUAGCUAGCUAGCUGGACUAAUGGCCAGUCAGUCAGUGUUUGGCUAGAUAGCUAGCCGGGCUAAUGGCCAGUCAGUCAGGGUUUGGCUAGAUAGCUAGCUGGACUGAUGGCUAGUCAGUCAGGGUUUGGCUAGGUAGCUAGCUAGCUAGCUGGACUAAUGGCCAGUCAGUCAGGGUUUGGCUAGCUAGCUAGCUAGACUAAUGGCCAGUCAGUCAGGGUUUGGCUAGAUAGCUAGCUGGGCUAAUGGCCAGCCAGUUUGUUUGUCUUGACUAGGUAGUUCGCUGGCUAUGCGGUCUUUUGAAUGAUGCAUCAACACAGCCCUGGUUCCAUGGACGAUAUGGACUGUGGUGGGAGGAGUUGAGAGGCCUCGUAAGGGCCUGUUCCUGACUAAUGCAGAGGUUCAGCCACCUAAACUGUGCAGUGUGUGUGUGUGUGUGUGUGCGUCUGUCUCACCGUGCAGUGUGUGUGCGCGUGCGUCUGUCUCACCGUGCAGUGUGUGUGUGUGUGUGCGUCUGUCUCACCGUGCAGUGUGUGUGCGCGUCUGUCUCACCGUGCAGUGUGUGUGUGCACGCGUCUGUCUCACCGUGCAGUGUGUGUGUGCGCGCGUCUGUCUCACCGUGCAGUGUGUGCGUGUGCGCGUCUGUCUCACCGUGCAGUGUGUGCGUGUGCGCGCGUCUGUCUCACCGUGCAGUGUGUGCGUGCGCGCGUCUGUCUCACCGUGCAGUGUGUGUGUGUGUGCGUCUGUCUCACCGUGCAGUGUGUGUGUGUGUGUGUGUG